CACCACUGGGCCCGUGGACUCAGGGGUCGUGUUGUUGGUCAGAUCGAGGGGCGUCUCCUGUCCGUCCCCCCAGCUGAACACGCCAAGCAGGUUGGUGGGGAGGUGCUCCACAUUUGCCACUGUCAGGGUCACAUCAGCAUCACCUGAGGAGGGAUGUGUCUAGAAGGUAUGAUUAGUGCAUGAACCUGGAGGCAAGACUGGCAGGUUGUUCAGUGUCAGCUCAAGGUGGUGUGGCUGGACAGGGUGCUCCAGAGUGACAGUGGUGGAGGCUGGUGGCGACACUCCUGCCUCCCCUUGUGUGGUCAUGUUUAUCAUCAUUUCUCCAGCCUGCCAGGAGAGACAAAGUAAAGUUCUUGAUGAAAAUAGCUGCAUGAAAGUUGGUGCAUCACCACUCACCUCAAAAAAGGUGUGACUGAUGUAGUGAGCAGUGCUGGUGAUUGUCUGACCCUCAAUGUAGAAUGCAUAGCUGGUGACAUCUCCAGAGAGCA